rnacentral:rRNA from 1 species
GACGAACGCUGGCGGCGUGCCUAAUACAUGCAAGUCGAACGCUUCUUUCCUCCCGAGUGCUUGCACUCAAUUGGAAAGAGGAGUGGCGGACGGGUGAGUAACACGUGGGUAACCUACCCAUCAGAGGGGGAUAACACUUGGAAACAGGUGCUAAUACCGCAUAACAGUUUAUGCCGCAUGGCAUAAGAGUGAAAGGCGCUUUCGGGUGUCGUUGAUGGAUGGACCCGCGGUGCAUUAGCUAGUUGGGGAGGUAACGGCUCACCAAGGCCACGAUGCAUAGCCGACCUGAGAGGGGGAUCGGCCACACUGGGACUGAGACACGGCCCAGACUCCUACGGGAGGCAGCAGUAGGGAAUCUUCGGCAAUGGACGAAAGUCUGACCGAGCAACGCCGCGUGAGUGAAGAAGGUUUUCGGAUCGUAAAACUCUGUUGUUAGAGAAGAACAAGGACGUUAGUAACUGAACGUCCCCUGACGGUAUCUAACCAGAAAGCCACGGCUAACUACGUG